rnacentral:tRNA from 1 species
GAGCGCAUAGCUCAGCGGUAGAGCACUACCUUGACAUGGUAGGGGUCACAGGUUCAAUCCCUGUUGCGCUCACCA